UUAACCAAUAAAUUCUCAUUAUUUUAACAAUUAAUUUCAUAAAUUUAAGUAUUCAUUCAACAACACAAAACUUAUGUUCAUGCAAAAGUACCCAAAAUUUGGGUUUUUUACUAAAGAAGUAUAAAAAAAUUAAAAAAUUUUAAAAUAAUAUACCUAAAAAUCUAAUUACGAAAAUGGUAUGGUCAGGGUGGUCACACCACUCUGACAGGCGGCACCACCUUGAUGUGAC
rnacentral:lncRNA from 1 species